rnacentral:lncRNA from 1 species
AGAGAGCCUUGUUGUGUAGCUACCAGGAGGGCCUCUUCCCCAGAAACUCCAGAGUCAUUAUCAGCCCCAGUUCUUUUCGCCUUCCUUCUCCCUCCACUGAUCCCAGUGUUCUAGAGGUUUGAAGCUUUGAGGACAAGCCAGCCAGCCAUUCCUCACAAGAAGAUGGAGGAUUCCUGCUCUCAGCCCUGCUUUUCUUUCCCCCGGAUAGUAACCUGGAAAGAGGCUUUCAGUGGGUGCUAUUGAAGAGCUAGACCUGCCCCAUUCAAAAAAGAUUCCUGGCUGGCCCUGUUCCUGAUGGAG